GACGUAGGAGGCGAGCGUUGUCCGGAUUCAUUGGGCGUAAAGAGCACGCAGGCGGUUUGUCAAGUCGGAUGUGAAAACCCGAAGCUCAACUUCGGGCCUGCAUCCGAAACUGCCCGACUAGAGGUAGGUAGGGGAGAUCGGAAUUCCUGGUGUAGCGGUGAAAUGCGCAGAUAUCAGGAGGAACACCGGUGGCGAAGGCGGAUCUCUGGGCCUUACCUGACGCUCAGGUGCGAAAGCUAGGGGAGCGAACAGG
rnacentral:rRNA from 1 species